CCUACGGGUGGCAGCAGUGAGGAAUAUUGGUCAAUGGGCGCGAGCCUGAACCAGCCAAGUCGCGUGAGGGAAGACGGUCCUAUGGAUUGUAAACCUCUUUUGUCGGGGAGCAAAAGACGCCACGCGUGGCGUUCCGAGAGUACCCGAAGAAAAAGCAUCGGCUAACUCCGUGCCAGCAGCCGCGGUAAUACGGAGGAUGCGAGCGUUAUCCGGAUUUGUUGGGUUUAAAGGGUGCGCAGGCGGAAGAUCAAGUCAGAGGUAAAAUUGAGAGGCUCAACCUCGUCGAGCCGUUGAAACUGGUUUUCUUGAGUGAGCGAGAAGUAUGUGGAAUGCGUGGUGUAGCGGUGAAAUGCAUAGAUAUCACGAAGAACUCCGAUUGCGAAGGCAGCAUACCGGCGCUCAACUGACGCUCAUGCACGAAAGUGUGGGUAGCGAACAGGAUUAGAUACCCCUGUAGUC
rnacentral:rRNA from 1 species